rnacentral:rRNA from 1 species
UACGGGGGGGGUAAGCGUUGUUCGGAAUUACUGGGCGUAAAGGGCUCGUAGGCGGCCAACUAAGUCAUACGUGAAAUCCCUCAGCUUAACUGGGGAACUGCGUGUGAUACUGGAUGGCUUGGAUUUGGGAGAGGGAUGCGGAAUUCCAGGUGUAGCGGUGAAAUGCGUAGAUAUCUGGAGGAACACCGGUGGCGAAGGCGGCAUCCUGGACCAAUAUUGACGCUGAGGCACGAAGGUCAGGGGAGCAAACGGG